rnacentral:rRNA from 1 species
GGGUGAAAUCCGUUAAUCCUUGAGGGACCACCAGUAGCGAAGGCGUCUGACCAGACCGGGUCCGACGGUGAGGGACGAAGGCUAGGGUCGCGAACCGGAUUAGAUACCCGGGUAGUCCUAGCUGUAAACGAUGCGGGCCAGGUGUUGGCAUUACUGCGAGUGAUGUCAGUGCCGAAGGGAAGCCGUUAAGCCCGCCAUCUGGGGAGUACGGUCGCAAGGCUGAAACUUAAAGGAAUUGGCGGGGGAGCACCACAACGGGUGGAGCCUGCGGUUCAAUUGGAUUCAACGCCGGGAAACUCACCGGAGGCGACAGCAAGAUGAAGGUCAGGCUGAAGACCUUACCGGAUUAGCUGAGAGGUGGCGCAUGGCCGUCGACAGUUCGUGUCGUGAAACAUCCUGUUAAGUCAGGCAACGGGCGAGACCCGCGCUCACAGUUGCCAGCAUCUCCGUAAGGAGGAUGGGAACUCUGUGAGGACUGCCGCCGCUAAGGUGGAGGAAGAAGCGGGCCACGGUAGGUCAGUAUGCCCCGAAUCCUCCGGGCUACACGCGUGCUACAAUGGAUAGUACAAUGAGUAUCGACCCCGAAAGGGGAAGGCAAACCCCUAAAACUAUCCUUAGUUGGGAUCGAGGGCUGCAACUCGCCCUCGUGAACCUGGAAUCCGUAGUAAUCGCAUCUCAAAAUGGUGCGGUGAAUAUGUCCCUGCUCCUUGCACACACCGCCCGUCAAGCCAGCCGAGUGGGAUUUAGGUGAGGUCAUGUUUUUUGGCAUGCUCGAACCUAAGUCUCGUAAGGGGGGCU